UACGUAGGCAGCGAGCGUUGUUCGGAGUUACUGGGCGUAAAGGGUGUGUAGGCGGUUGUUUAAGUUUGGUGUGAAAUCUCCCGGCUCAACUGGGAGGGUGCGCCGAAUACUGAAUGACUAGAGUGCGGGAGAGGUGAGUGGAAUUCCCGGUGUAGCAGUGAAAUGCGUAGAGAUCGGGAGGAACACCAGUGGCGAAGGCGGCUACCUGGACCAGCACUGACACUGAAGCACGAAAGCGUGGGGAGCAAACAGG
rnacentral:rRNA from 1 species